GAUCAUGGCUCAGGACGAACGCUGGCGGCGUGCCUAACACAUGCAAGUCGAACGGAAGUUAGAGCUUCGGUUUUAACCUUAGUGGCGAACGGGUGAGUAACGCGUGAGGAACCUGCCUUUCAGUGGGGGACAACAGUUGGAAACGACUGCUAAUACUGCAUGAUGCUUUUGGGAGACAUCUCCUGAAAGUCAAAGCUUUAUGUACUGAAAGAUGGCCUCGCGUCUGAUUAGCUAGUUGGUG
rnacentral:rRNA from 1 species